rnacentral:rRNA from 1 species
UACGUAGGCAGCGAGCGUUGUUCGGAGUUACUGGGCGUAAAGGGUGCGUAGGCGGUUGUUUAAGUUUGGUGUGAAAUCUCCCCGGCUCAACUGGGAGGGGUGCGCCCGAAUACUGAAUGACUAGAGUGCGGGAGAGGAUAGUGGAAUUCCUGGUGUAGCGGUGAAAUGCGUAGAUAUCAGGAGGAACACCGGUGGUGUAGACGGCUAUCUGGACCGUAACUGACGCUGAGGCACGAAAGCGUGGGUAGCAAACAGG